rnacentral:rRNA from 1 species
AUUGAACGCUGGCGGCAGGUCUAACACAUGCAAGUCGAGCGGUUGAGGGUAGCUUGCUACCCGAUGCAGCGGCGAACGGGUGAGUAACGCGUGAGAAUCUGCCCAGUAGUGGGGGACAACAGUCGGAAACGACUGCUAAUACCGCAUACGCCCUACGGGGGAAAGGGGGGGAUCUUCGGACCUCUCGCUAUUGGAUGAGCCCGCGUCGGAUUAGCUAGUUGGUGAGGUAAAGGCUCACCAAGGCGACGAUCCGUAACUGGUCUGAGAGGAUGAGCAGUCACACUGGAACGGGGACACGGUCCAGACUCCUACGGGAGGCAGCAGUGGGGAAUAUUGGACAAUGGGGGCAACCCUGAUCCAGCCAUGCCGCGUGUGUGAAGAAGGCCUUAGGGUUGUAAAGCACUUUCAGUGGGGAGAAAAGUGAUUCACCUAAUACGUGAGUCAAUUGAUGUUACCCACAGAAGAAGCACUGGCUAACUCUGUGCCAGCCGCCGCAGUAA